CCAGCGUCCUUAGACAUCCUUAGAUGAUGUUAUGGUGCAGAUGCAUGUCAUGUUCUUAGCCCGGCGCUCGCGUUGACGCCGCGGGCUCAUCCACAGAAGUAGUGUGCGCGAGGGCGCCGGUGUCACAGCGAUGCCGAACGUGUCGUCGCCGUCGGCAUUCCGACCGGGCCUCCUCGACGAUGCUGGGCAUGUCUCCUCCGUGUGAGCUGCAUGCCUGCGUACAUGAGGUUCAGUGGCUGGAUGUGUUGUUGCGAUCUGGUCUUCAAGCCCUCCGCGAGAACCUUCCUUCUAGCCUUCUCCGCGAAUCCUCGUCUUGGUCUCCUCAGGGCAUCUCCAAUGCAGGGGCGCCUGUGUGGGCGCUUGUGUAAAAAAUAAAACUAAAUUACGAUGGAGCAUCGGUGUAAAAGUCUGGGCUUCCAACGCAGGAGUGCUAGAUUGGGCGCUUAUCUAUAUAUUUUUCCUUUCGGACGACAUUCUCAAGCGCCGGCCUCUCCAACGCAGGAAACAAGCAUCGGUGCCCACCGAUCCAACCGAACACGAACCGGUCAGCUGCACCAGUCCUCACUCAGCUCACUCUGCUCUCAGCUCAGCUCACUCUGCUCCCUUCUCUCGAACUCUCCACACCCUUGACUCUCGUCAGAUCCAGCGAGCCGGAGGAGAACUCCAGGCCGAACUCUCACACCCUCAGAUGCCGGCCACGGCAAACGGCGGCGCGGGGGCGGAGUAGGCAGCAGCCCGCGUCUUCCUUCCCAUGGAGACGAGGCCGGUGCAGCUGUCGGCGAGGCCGACGGACAUGAAGAUGGCGGUGCGCGAGCGGAUGAGGCAGCAGCAGCCGGGCCUUCCCACAUGGAGACGAAGCCGGAGGAGCUACCGCGGCGCUGACGGACGGGAGGGGAGGGAGCCGUGGAGCAGAGGAGGCAGCAGCCGCGCCUUCCCCCAUGGGAACGAGGCCGGAGGAGCUCUUGGCGAUUGAUGUACCAAUUGCUGCGCGCGUACAAUAUGCGCGUUCAAGAUGAACAAGCUUACCCGACAUCUGAGGUUUGAAGAUCGGAAUUUUUCCCGUGUUGAACCAGCUUCACAUUCACAUGCAUUUCAUUUUUGGCAUUUUUUUUAUUGUAAGUAUUCAGGUCUCAUGGAGAAUUAUUAUAGAUAUAAACGACCUCCAUAUUUUAUUGUAGAUUAUUUUUUGUGUGAAGAGAAAGAAAACAUAUAUUUUUUGAACCAAGCAAUAUAUUUUUUGUGUAGCUGCAAAAGAAAAUCAGGUAAGUUAGUUGCGUAUAGCUGGCUCCGUUCAGCAAAGACCAGCUGAGGUCAUUGAGCCGUUGCAGAUUUGUAGCGCUCCAAGGAGCGCCCGGUGCCAGAUUGGUACGGAGAAAAAGGAUCGCGCAGAAAAAACAAAGGAGAAGCGCCCGACGACAGCCUGGGCAUCGAUGCCAACCCAUGGGAUCGGGGGGGAUUUGACCAAAUCGGGAGGAAAUCGAACCCUGGCGCCCGUCGUAAGCGCCCCCGUUGUACAUGCCCUCAGGUGCAGGCGCCACCCGCUACCUUUAGGCGCGGGGUGCUUCUUGGCAACCCGAGCAUCUUCAAGUCCUCACGAGGGUGCCUCCCCGGUUCCUCUUGAUGCGAUCUGGUAUAUUAAAUAUAAAAAGAAAUAGGAACGAGUGACUGAAGAGAAGAGCACUGUAUGUGCCCUUGCAUGCAUGUGUCAUGCAACUCGAGAUGUCUCCAAACCCUUUGAAGGGCUAGCUUGACUUGACACGCAAUGGCAUGUGUUGCUGUCGCCGUCGUCGUGCUCGGAGCGGGUGUCAUUGCUGCCGUCGCGUCCUCUCACCGGUCUUCUCGCAUGUGUACUUGCACUGUCGCGAGCAAGUCGCCGACCGUACGCGCCACCGCCGUGGGCACGUCUCUCUCGGCUGGCUGUCAUCUCCGUCCCGAUCUUGCCGAUGCUGCCGCCAGGGGCGCAUCUCCUCAUACCUCCUCUGGAGGUGCGUGAGUCCCUCUAUUGCCCUGCCUGAACCCUGGUAAAACAACCACAAAGAAAA